AUUAUCUUCUCAACUAAGGCUUACAUUGGCGGUCAUAGCUUCCAACUUUUGUUGGGUAUCUUAUUCAUGAGUAUGCCUAGUAGAGUAAGUUGAUUAUUUCAUUGUCAUUGAGUAUUCCUUGAGUUAAGUAUUUUCGAAAAGAGACACCUGUAUUCAGGAUCAUCAGUAGGAGCUUCUUUGAUACAUCCAAGAGUUCGAUUUAGCUAUGGUGAGAAUCCUAGCUUCCGAAGGAUUUCAUUUACUUUUCAAUUUAGUUAGGAGGUCAU